GUUAGUGUUGCAAUGGUUACCCUCAUGAUAUAACCGACUUUAGAUUCUAAUGUAACCUUGUAUUUAGGAUGAGGGCUGUUUUGCUACAGCUUUUACUUCACUGUCUCCUAAAGAAGACACUAUUCCAUCUCCACAGUUUAUGGCUUUUUUUCCCCGUGGACAGAGGAGAAGUUACUAUACUACUAAGAAACUUUCCCAAGAGCCUUCUGUCUUCGUUGUGAAUGCCUGAGUGAUUCCCUGGGAGAUGCUCCUGAGUUCAAGGGCUGCAGGUUUGGAGAUGCUGCCAAAUUCCCCUCCGCAGCAUCUAGGGAUCCUAUCAACACACCACUAUUUAUGGAAGUGGAUCCAUCCUGCAGUUGCCAGCUACAAAAGUUCCUGAGCAAGAAGGAAACUGUCUCAGAGAAGGCAGAACAGCGGCUGUCCUGGGGAAAGACUCCAGCUGAUAAUGGGCUCCAAAUGUCUUGGCACCAGCAAGGAUUUUGUUUGAAAAUGUGUCCUUGUGUUUAUGACUGUUCAGUUUGUGCUUGGGUGUACUCAUUUCACACCCCCUCCUCCUAAUCUCAGACACAAUGUCUAUCAGGAAUGUCUAUCAGGAAAUGCCUGCCAGUGUCCAUAGUAGCUUCAGAAAACAACAACAACAAAAACCCACCAUUGAUCGACUACAAUGCCUUCAUUUGUUUUUUGUAUUUUAAAUUUCUUGGUGGUUUUCAUUUACUUUGUAAAGAGGUAUUGAUUUAAGAACAGUAUGCAGUGUGUUGAUCCAGGCUGAGGAUGCAGAGGCACAUGUAUCUUCUUUUACAUGCUAUAGCAGGCACAGGCCAAGGGUCUGACCCACUCAGCCACCUAAUGGUGGGCUUCCCAUCACCUCUGUUGAGAACCAUCACCUGCCUCUGAGGGUAGCCAGGGGCAGUUAAUGAUCACAUCUGGUAUCAAUAAACACCUUCCAGCUCCCUGGA